rnacentral:rRNA from 1 species
AUGACGAGGGCGAGGACGCGGAGGACGGUGAGGGGGGAGGCGGUGGAGGGGUGCGCCCGCUCUGGUACGAGCUCACUCAUGUGUGAUCAAGGGCGCCGCAGGGCCAGCGACAAGUCUGUGAAGGAGAAGUGCAAGAUCGUCAACGGAGAUGACCUGAUCUGGUCCAUGGGCACGCUCGCCUUCGAGGACUACGUCGAGCCCCUCAAGCUGCACGUCAAGCUCUAUCGGGAGAAUCAUUUUGCGGUGCACUUGUUGGGCCUUGAACCUUGGUGUAUCGAGGAGUCAUUGGAUGAUGCAUUCUAUUUCAUGUGA